rnacentral:misc_RNA from 1 species
ACACCACUUAAGCACAGCUUAGUGUUGGGAAUCUACGCGGGGCAGCUACCCGGGACUUACCCUGUAGCUACCCUGUAGUUCCUUAAAGACAACGGCGGAGUUGUGGUAUCCUCUGAGCUUAGUAGUAACAUUCUAGCUUUCGAGUAGCCACUGCCCCUGCCGUUAAACCCCCAUCUUUUAAAU